AGCCACGUUGUGUAGCGGUAAACACUUCUGACCCGGCUUGUCAGAAGACGUGGGUUCGAAUCCCAUCAGUGUUU